GAUGAACGCUGGCGGCGUGCUUAACACAUGCAAGUCGAACGGAAAGGCUCCUGCUUGCAGGGGUACUCGAGUGGCGAACGUGUGAUUAACACGUGGGUGAUCUGCCCUGCACUUCGGUUUAAGCCUGGUAAACUGGGUCUAAUACCGGAUAGGACGAUGGUUUGGAUGCCAUUGUUGAAAGUUUUUCGGUGUGGGAUGAGCUCGCGGCCUAUCAGCUUGUUGGUGGGGUAAUGGCCUACCAAGGCGUCGACGGGUAGCCGGCCUGAGAGGGUGUACGGCCAGAUUGGGACUAAGAUACGGCCCAGACUACUAAGGGAGGCAGAAGUGGGGAAUAGUGCAAAAGGGGAGGAAGACUGAUGCAGCGACGCCGCGUGGGGGAUGACGGCCUUAGGGUUGUAAACUGCUUUCGCUAGGGACGAAGCGAAAGUGACGGUACCUGGAGAAGAAGCACCGGCUAACUACGUG
rnacentral:rRNA from 1 species